AUGACAGAAUUCCUCUUUAAUAUCUGGAGAAAGCCCAGACGUGAAACAAUGCUUUAGCAUCGGUGGGGACAUCUCGGUGGUUCGAUUUACAAGCUUCUCAAACUCUGAGAGAUAUUCACGAACAGAGAAAGUUAUUUACAAUUUAGCAAGCAAACUCUCUAGUGACUCUAGGGAUUUUGCUCCAAAACAAGUCACAAAAGCUUUCAUAAAGUGAUCCCAGCCCCAUAACUGGUGAUUUCGGUACAUCCAUUGAUACCAAUCUUUGGCAUCGCCUUCAAGAAAGAAGGAGCAGAGAUUAAUACAAUAUUCGUCGAAAACAGCAUAGGUUUUGAAAUAUUGAUUGGCUUGGAAUAUCCAACUCUCAGCAGUGGUACCAUCACACUUUGGAAAAUCAAUCAAAGCUGGUUUGUCUCUACGAAAAUGAUUAAAGGGUUGUUGGGUAAGAAAAAGUUGGGUGUGUGGAGGAUUGAAGGUAUAAACUGGUUGUUGUGGCGUGGGAUGUUAUAGAAAAAAUAGUUUGUGGCUGUGGCGUUGAAUAUUGACCCAACACCGAAGAAGAAGGGUUAGCUAUGGGUGGCGUCAUCGGUAGAAGGAGCUCUCGGAGAAGCCCUUUGUAGAACAAGCUCUUGAAGGGUACUGUUAAUAGGUUCCAGAGCUUUGGUGUGAGCGGCUGACUCUUCUUGGAGUUGUUUCACAGCUUCAUCCAAGGAUCGUGACCGUGUGUUGUGUGUACCAUCGCCCAUUUGUAGAAGGAAGAUCAAUGAAAGGACCAAAUAGAACAAUCAAAACUUAGAUAAAUUGAUAAAUUGAUUUCCAGGCCACAUAAGGGAUCUGUCCUCAAAUUCUUGGAAUAAAAUAGAGCUAAAAAAAGGAAAAAUAGAAAAAGGGAGGUUCCAAAUCUACCAUUCUAAGAAACAAAAAGAUAAGCAAG
rnacentral:lncRNA from 1 species